ACACGACUCUCGGCAAUGGAUAUCUCGGCUCUCGCAUGGAUGAAGAGCGCAGCGAAAUGCGAUACGUGGUGCGAAUUGCAGAAUCCCGCGAACCAUCGAAUCUUUGAACGCAAGUUGCGCCCGAGGCCAACCGGCCGAGGGCACGUCCGCCUGGGCGUCAAGC
rnacentral:rRNA from 1 species